GCCAUUUUAGCUUAGUGGUAGAGCGUCUGCUUCGUAAGCUGAGGGUCGUCAGUUCAAUCCUGGCAAGUGGCU
rnacentral:tRNA from 1 species